ACGGCUCAGUAACACGUGGAUAACGUGCCCUUUGGUGGAGGAUAAUCUCGGGAAAUUGAGGAUAAUACUCCAUAGAUCAUGAGAUCUGGAAUGACUUAUGGUCCAAAGUUCCGGCGCCUAAGGAUUGGUCUGCGGCCUAUCAGGUUGUAGUGGGUGUAACGGACCCACUAGCCGAUGACGGGUAUGGGCCUUGAGAGAGGGAGCCCAGAGAUGGAAUCUGAGACACGAAUCCAGGCCCUACGGGGCGCAGCAGUCGCGAAAACUUCACACUGGGGGCAACCCCGACGAGGGAAUUCCUAGUGCUAGCACAUUAGUGUUAGCUUUUCUUCAGCGUAGAUAACUGGAGGAAUAAGGGCUGGGUAAGACGGGUGCCAGCCGCCGCGGUAAUACCUGCAGCCCAAGUGGUGGUCGAUAUUAUUGAGUCUAAAACGUUCGUAGCCGGUCUAAUAAAUCCUUGGGUAAAUCGGGGGGCUUAACCUUCCGAAUUCCGAGGAGACUGUUAGACUUGGGACCGGGAGAGGCAAGAGGUACUUCUGGGGUAGGGGUAAAAUCCUGUAAUCCUAGAAGGACCACCGGUGGCGAAGGCGUCUUGCUAGAACGGAUCCGACGGUGAGGGACGAAGCCCUGGGUCGCAAACGGGAUUAGAUACCCCGGUAGUCCAGGGUGUAAACGCUGCAGACUUGGUGUUGGGGGCCCUUCGGGGGCAUUCAGUGCCGGAGAGAAGUUGUUAAGUCUGCUACUUGGGGAGUACGUCCGCAAGGAUGAAACUUAAAGGAAUUGGCGGGGGAG
rnacentral:rRNA from 1 species